GAAGGUUACACAUACAAGUCUGUUAUCUCUUCUCUUCCACAGUAGCACUGAAAUUAGGCGAUGAAGAUGAUGGCGGCGAGAAUAAAAUUGGCAAAUGAGUAGAGACAUUGUUUUGCUUCUUGAAUCCAUUUUCGUCUAGUAUUCAGAAAUAUACACGAAGACAUCUUGAGCAAAGCAUUACAAAAUGCCCCAUCUUCUAGGACAAAGGGUUGAGGCAGGAAUCUUAUGUCUGGGUGGCUGCUCUGUGAUUUUUGUAAAGGUCAGAAGACCAAUGUGAAAUCUGAGACUAACAAAAUUUAUCGUCGGUGUCCAUCAUGUAGAGCUGUGGAUACUUAUUAUGCUCAAAAUGCAAAGUUUUCAAAUGUGUUACCUUCCCAAAUGAUGAAGAUGGUGAGGUUCUCAGUUUUUGAACUUGUUACUUCAUCUCAUUUGUUGUUUAGAAUAUUCAUCUUGACUAAUUAUCAUACAUUUAAUUUUUACUGACUUGUAAGUUUCAUCACCACGCAUGAAUAUGUAAUGUUUUCUCUAAUUGUUGUAAUCAAUGACCAGAAAAGAAGAGAAAUAAAACAGUUCAGAA